rnacentral:lncRNA from 10 species
CAUUUUCCACCCUGACUCAUUCCGAUUACCUGCUCCACCCUGACUCAUUCUCCACCUUGACUCAUUUCAUAACCGUUUUUCCCUCCAAACAACUCACCCUGUCACUCUCUUUAAAUUACUCAAUCAGAAUUAGUUUAGCCUGUACGGUCUAACCCUAGCCAAUAGGGGAAUGACAAAGCAGUAGGGACCAUGUGCAUAAGGAAAAAUAACCCCUUUCCCUCCUUUGUCCAGGUGUGCACUCACCAGUCCUCCAUCUGUAAGGGCAUACCCUUCUAUAGAAGUACCUUGCCCUGCUGAGAAUUAAAAAGAAAAUUUUAUAUUCGAGUGCUAUUUCUUUUGUGGCACCGAAACUUUACUUAUAACAAUUUGGGGGCUCAUCCGGGAUUACAUUCCCCUCCGGGGGUGGUCUCUGGUUCUCUCUUGUGAGGAGGUGCACCCCACCCCACUGUGGCGGCCUCAGGGGUGAGAAAUCAAGACCCACCCAGUGUGAAGAAUAACCUGAGCUCUCAGCUACAUGGAAAGAAACUGGCUAGCAACCUAGCUUAAAGCAUCCUCCAUAAGGGCCACACAAGUGUGUGCAUGGACCGAGGAAAAGACACCAUGGGAGCCGGUAAAGUAUUUCCUUGGUGGUUGGGAGCAAGGUUAAUUAUAUUCUAAAGCAUACCAAGCUCUUCGUGUUUGCUGCUGGAGUGACUGUGUGUUCCCUUGCCCUUAGAUGAAGAAAUGCUUUCAAAACCUCUGAAGAUGCCUGAAUGGUCUGAGGGUAUCGUGCAGCAGUUUUUGGUGUUACUGACGACCAGCUCUGACGAGAGUCUUCGGUUUCUUAGCUUCAGGCUGGACUUCAACGAGCAUUACAAAGCCAGGGAGCCCAGGCUCCGCGUGUCUCUGGGUACCAGGGGGCGGCGCAGCUCCCACACGUGAAGCUCGCGGUCCUCCCAGGGAGCUGCGGGUGAUGUUCGUUGCACUGCUAGACACGAAAUUCCCAUUGACGUCCUGCAGGAACUGCAUGCUGCAGGUGUCCUGCCCUUCCGCCCACGAGUGCGCCAUGUUUCAGCGGAGCGGCGUGUGGGAGAAGCCACGUCGUGUUGCACACGUCGGAGUUGAAUGCAUUUGUAAAUCACUAAGUCAAGUAGGCUGGCUGCACUGUUCACAUUUGUCUCUAAAAGUCUUCAUCCCCAAAAGAUACCAUAAUUUGCUGAGGCUUCUGAAUCUUAAGUGCUCUAAGUUAUAACUUAUAUUUGUCACUUUAAAAGAACUGUUUGUUUAGCAAAAUCUACAGCAAGGGUAUAUUUAUAAAGUGAUAAUGUCAUUGCUGUUAUUUAGCAUCCUCUUCAGAAACUUUUUUUUGCAAUAUUAUUAGAUUAAACUGAAAUACAUAGAAAAUAUAGAGAGCAUUUUAUUAUCUUGGUAUUCAAGGUUGUAAAGUGUGAAAAUUUUUGUAUCUUACAUAUAUCUAUUCUUUUCUCUCUCCUUUCAAGGUUUACACUUACAGAUUUAAUUUACUAUUCUAGAUAACUUCUAAAAUAGUACAGAACACGAGUAGGAGUGUUGUGGAACAAAAACAUCCUUAAACUUAAAUUUCUUGACGCCACCAGCUGAAGCAGUGUGGCAACAGGAAUGACUAGAAAGUUAACAAAGUAUUUUAUUUUUACAAUUUUGAUGAGCAUUAUAAAGAAAUCGAUUUGGAUAAUGAAGGUUUCUUUUUUCUUUGACUAAUUUUUCCUUGUAAAUAUUUAUAUACUAUUGACCAGAUGCUGGGGAGAACGGUGUCUGUAAAAAGUCACGUCAUAUCAGCUUGCCUUUAUUAUGCUGUAUAAGUGAAAACUUAGAAAACUGAAAGCAAUUAUCUUUCAAAGCAUUGGCUGUUUUUUGAAUAGUCUAUUAAGUGACAGUUCAUUUGCCAGGGGGGCGGGGAUUGACAGGAUUUGAUUUAAUGUAGUACAGCAUAUGAAUUAUUUAAUCAUAAUUAGAAACCAAGAAAUUAGAUUUUGUGUGACUUUCGGUGUAGAAGCAAACGCAAUGUCACCACUCAGGUCUCAGGAGCGGUGCUUUAGUUAUCUGAAUCUGCCUCUGACUCCUUUAGGUGUGGAUUCCCUUUAAAACUAAAGGGGCCAUCAAGAAUCCUGGCCAUGCAGAAAUGAUUCCAUGGCAAAGGCCAGAAAUUCUUAGGAUAAAAACUUAAUUUAAUUUUAGUUUUCAAGUUCAUAAAAUCAGAAAUUUGAAACAGAUUUCUCCACUGCAAGUUGUCCUAGAAAUUAUGGCGUAUUGUGUAUCUCCGAGAGAGGUUUACCAAGGUUAUUAACCAUGCAGCCAGCUUUUAUUUUAUUUUAUUCAGAGAGUUGUUCCAGGGAUUAAUCCUCGGUAGAAACCACCCUAGCAAAGGCCCACCUCGAUUUUAGGGAUUACGACUCCAUUGGAGUGUAGGAGUCACCAGGACUUAGGUCAGAUCUGUGGGCUAUGGAGGGCUUCCGGGAGGUGCGGCCCUGGGGGGUGCCUGCGGGUCUGGAGGGUGGGAGCUGGGAUGGGGUGAGGCCUCUGAGGAGCUGCGUGAGACCCACUCUCCGUCAUUGUGGGUGCACAAUCAGGCCCCUUAGGGAGCCAGGGCCCCAAAACCCAGCAUCAGCCAAGCAUGGAUGACUUGGGGGUUCCACACUGGGGUUGUGCGUAAAGGAGAGCUCCUCUCAGGGGUGGGUGCGCCCGGCCCGGGGGUGCCACGUCUUCACCCAGAAAACGAGGCCGAGUCUGCAGGGGCCCUGCUGCAUGGAUGGAGGUGUGGGUGGUUGGUAGGACCCCAGGC